rnacentral:rRNA from 1 species
AUUGAACGCUGGCGGCAUGCCUUACACAUGCAAGUCGAACGGCAGCGCGGGGCAACCUGGCGGCGAGUGGCGAACGGGUGAGUAAUAUAUCGGAACAUACCCUAGAGUGGGGGAUAACGUAGCGAAAGUUACGCUAAUACCGCAUACGCACUAAGGUGGAAAGUGGGGGGAUCUUCGGACCUCAUGCUCAUGGAGUGGCCGAUAUCUGAUUAGCUAGUUGGUGAGGUAAAGGCUCACCAAGGCAACGAUCAGUAGCUGGUUUGAGAGAACGACCAGCCACACUGGAACUGAGACACGGUCCAGACUCCUACGGAGGCAGCAGUGGGGAAUUUUGGACAAUGGGGGCAACCCUGAUCCAGCAAUGCC